AUUGAACGCUGGCGGCAUGCCUUACACAUGCAAGUCGAACGGUAACAGGUCUUCGGAUGCUGACGAGUGGCGAACGGGUGAGUAAUACAUCGGAACGUGCCCGAUCGUGGGGGAUAACUACUCGAAAGAGUAGCUAAUACCGCAUACGAUCUACGGAUGAAAGCGGGGGAUCUUCGGACCUCGUGCGGACGGAGCGGCCGAUGGCAGAUUAGGUAGUUGGUGGGAUAAAAGCUUACCAAGCCGACGAUCUGUAGCUGGUCUGAGAGGACGACCAGACACACUGGGACUGAGACACGGCCCAGAGUCCUACGGGAGGCAGCAGUGGGGAAUUUUGGACAAUGGGCGAAAGCCUGAUCCAGCAAUGCCGCGUGCAGGAUGAAGGCCUUCGGGUUGUAAACUGCUUUUGUACGGAACGAAAAGACUCCUUCUAAUACAGGGGGUCCAUGACGGUACCGUAAGAAUAAGCACCGGCUAACUACGUGCCAGCAGCCGCCGUAACAC
rnacentral:rRNA from 1 species